rnacentral:lncRNA from 1 species
UAUGUACGAAAUAUUAUUGUCAAAAAAGGUGUUUUGCAAUAACAAAUAACAACGAAUAUGACUACAUGAACUACCGCAACAUAUUAUCACUACAUAUUGUGAUUAUUUUUCUUUUUGAACUGUCAGGUUAAUUUAAACUUUUUACAUCUUAAAACAGUUGAAUCAUGUCAAGAUUUACAGAAGACACUACAUGGCAACAACGUCGUCUAUCAUUUUAUUUUUAGAUCGUAUGUUAUUAAUUUUAUGCUUUAUUGUAGUCCAUGUAUGUUGAUAUACUUAUUCCAUGAUAAUUCUAUGUUUAUCCUUUUGUGUGAUGUAAAUUAAAUGUUGAAUGACGGUUCAUGCAGGGAAAGAACAUAUCAAUAUUCGCAUAUUCAUCCAAAAACAUGAAAAUUCUUAAUGGAGUACCUCAUUUUUUAUUGAAUUCCUAAAAAACAAUAUUUAUAAUGAAUUUUAAUAAUUUUUUCGGAUUUUUUUGAAGCUUUAUUCUGACCGAUUCACCCGAUUCCGAUCCGGACCGCCGAUUCGCCGAUCCGGAUCGCCGAUUCGCCGAUCCGAAUCGGUUUUUGAAAAGCCCGAUCCGGGUCACCGAUCCGGUUUUUAAACCAUUGCUCAAAAUAUAUAGAAAUAAGGGCCAGCAUCCAUUAAGGAUCAAAAGAACAAUAACAUGAAAAGACAAAUAACAAGAAAAGCACGAAAAAAGGACAUGGGGUUGGGUCCCGAUUAAAUGGGGUUUUUUUUUUUUUUUAUAAUGGUUUUUGGAUAUAAGUGGUAUUAGUAU